GUUUGUACUUCUCGGGCUCUGACUUCCUUUCUGCCCCUUGCUUAGUUAAUCCCUAAUGAUCUUCAGUUCUCACAGUGGUGUCUGCCCAAAAGAUUCAAGAUCUGUUCCUGACCAGCCUUGCCCACCCUCUGGCUCUGUAUUGGUGGAACUCUGCCUCUUCCCACGGCAGCCCCGCCUCUCCUGCCUCCGUCCUAGCCAACUGGAGCCAUGACUGGCUGCUCCAAGUCUCCCCUCACCUGACAGCGGCACCUGGAUGCGGGUGGGAAGCCCGUAAGUGAGUGAAGGAAUUCCCAGCCGUGUCCAGGUUCCCCGAAGGACCGGAACUGUAGCCCCCCUCCAGCCUUCCACCUAAGUCGAACGAUUGACGGGUCCCCGACCCCGGCGCUAUGUAGCGACAGUACAGGACUCACCGCGGGUGAGGCGCGGACUCGGGCCAGGGCUCCGGGCUGGGCCAGGAGCUGUUUAACUUUCUGAUUCCUUCAACGAGCCACACCAAGAAGGCAUUGUUCAUGCUUCAUGUCUUUAAAUAGUUCCUGUAGUUUUUAUAACGAUUUUCUUUAUUAAUUUUUUUAUUUAUAUUUUCUGUAUGAGUGCUCUGUAUGUAUGCCUGCAGGCCAGAAGAGGGAAUCAGAUCCUAUUAUUGGUGGUUGUGAACACCAUGUGGGUGCGGGUAAUUGAACUCAGGACCUCUGGAAGACCAGCCAGUGUUCUUAACCACUGAGCCAUCUCUCCUGGCCCCUGAUUUUCUUUAUAUUCCUUUAUGAUCAGAUUUUUUUCUUAUCAACUUGUUUUAUGGCAUAAAAACGUGAUCUAUAUGAAGGGAAAUUCCAUGGAAUACUGAGGGGAAUGUGUAUUACAUGGAGUUUUCCAGAGAAAUCUGUGAAGGCGACUUGACCUACAGAACAGAGCAACUCUGAAGUUUCUUUGUUAAGAUCUUUUGUUUGGAAGACUUAUCACCUGAUAAGUGUGGGCAAUUGAAACCACCCACUGUUAUUACAUAUGGACCUCUUAUUUUAUAGUUAGUAGUGUUUAUGGAAUUAAGUAUACCCCUGUUUAUAUUUUCUUGAUGGACUGUUCCCUUUGUUAAGAUGGAGCAACCCUCUUCAUAUGUCUAAUUUUAAUUUAAAAUAAACUAUGGGAAAUAUGAAUAUACCCACUCCUGCUUGGUUUUGGCUUCUACUCACUUGGUAUAUAGUUUUCUAUUCUGUCUUUGUCUCUGACAGUCAGGUACGUUUCUUGCAGACAGCAAACGGUUGGA